rnacentral:rRNA from 1 species
UACGUAGGGACCGAGCGUUGUCCGGAUUCAUUGGGCGUAAAGAGCUCGUAGGCGGCUGCUCAAGUCGAAUGUGAAAACUCGAGGCUCAACCUCGAGCCUGCAUUCGAUACUGGGCGGCUAGAGUCUGGUAGGGGGAUCUGGAAUUCCCAGUGUAGCGGUGAAAUGCGUAGAUAUUGGGAGGAACACCAGUGGCGAAGGCGGCUCACUGGACCGGAACUGACGCUGAGGCGCGAAAGCGUGGGGAGCAAACAGG